rnacentral:rRNA from 1 species
UACAGAGGGUGCAAGCGUUGUUCGGAAUUACUGGGCGUAAAGCGCGUGUAGGCGGCUUGGCAAGUCAGACGUGAAAUCCCUCAGCUUAACUGAGGAACUGCGUCUGAUACUGCCAGGCUAGAGUGUCGGAGGGGAUGGUGGAAUUCCCGGUGUAGAGGUGAAAUUCGUAGAUAUCGGGAGGAACACCCGUGGCGAAGGCGACCAUCUGGAAGACAACUGACGCUGAGACGCGAAAGCGUGGGUAGCAAACAGG